AAGUGCGAUCAUACCAGCAGUAAUGCACCGGAUCCUAUCAGAAUUCCACAGUUAAGUGUGCUUGGGCGAGAGUAGUACUAGGAUGGCUGUCCUCCUGUGAAGUCCUCGUAUUGCACCUC
rnacentral:rRNA from 2 species